CACGGAGGUUGUGAGCGUUGUCCGGAAUUACUAGGCGUAAAGGGCAGGCAGGCGGAUCCAUAAGUUUAUCGUUUAAGGCGUCGGCUUAACCGGCGUAGGGCGGUAGAUACUGUGGAUCUGGAAUGCGGUUGGGGAAGACAGAAUUCCUGGUGUAGCGGUGGAAUGCGCAGAGAUCAGGAGGAAUACCGAAGGCGAAGGCAGUCUUCCAAGCCGUUAUUGACGCUCAACUGCGAAGGUGUGGGUAUCAAACAGGAUUAGAUACCCUGGUAGUCCCU
rnacentral:rRNA from 1 species